ACUCCUACGGGAGGCAGCAGUGGGGAAUAUUGCACAAUGGGGGAAACCCUCGAUGCAGCCAUGCCGCGUGUGUGAAGAAGGCCUUCGGGUUGUAAAGCACUUUCAGUAGGGAGGAAGGUAGUNUAGUUAACACCUGCAUAUUGNCGUACCUACAGAAGAAGCACCGGCUAACUCCGUGCCAGCAGCCGCGGUAAUACGGAGGGUGCGAGCGUUAAUCGGAAUUACUGGGCGUAAAGCGCAUGCAGGCGGCCCGUUAAGUCAGAUGUGAAAGCCC
rnacentral:rRNA from 1 species